rnacentral:lncRNA from 1 species
GGCAACAUGCUCAGGUCUCUUACCACGCUGUGGAAGCUUUGUUCUUUCGCUCUUUGCAAUGAAUCCUGCUGCUGCUCACUCUUUGGGUCCACACUGCCUUUAUGAGCUGUAACACUCACUGUGAAGGUCCGCAGCUUCCCUCCUGAGCCAGCGAGACCAGGAACCCACCAGAAGGAAGAAACUCAGAACACAUCCCAACAUCAGAAGGAACAAACUCCAGACGCGCCACCUUAAGAGCUGUAACACUCACCGCGAGGGUCUGCGGCUUCAUUCUUCAAGUCAGUGAGACCAAGAACCCACCAAUUCCGGACACACCAAGUCCUGAGUUCAGAAUUUUGUUUUUGAGAUGAACAUAAAAGCACCUAAAGGUCAAGGAAGAUGUUCUUCCUGUGAUAAGGAACACAAAGCCUGUUUGGUGGUCUCUUCACACGGAAGCGCAUGACACUUCGCUUUAGUGUAGAUGACCACUCCCCUCUGUAAGGUAGGGAGGAAGAAUGUUCGGUUAGUUCCUUUCCUCCGGCCGAUCUCUUUUUUUUCUUCUGGCACGGUCCAACAGACACUCCUGGCACUUGGCUUCCCGGGGGCUGCUCGCCCCCGGCCCAGAGGCCGGUUUCCAGCGGCAGGCCUUAUUCCACCAUCUUUGCAGCUUCCAAUUCUUUUCAUGUUAAGUUGUUUUUUGGAGAGAUAUAUAAAUUUAUUUUGGUCAGUAUUUGUCUUAUAUCUCUUUUUCCAAAUUCUUUAUGUUCCAAUUUUUGGGGUAGUAUUGUUUUAAGUGUCUCUUACAUACUAUAUCUAGAUAUAUCUUUACUCUGAGAAUUUUUUAAGAGGCAGUUUAAAACCGUUACCUGUACUACAACUGCAAAUAUACUUGAAUUUAUUUCUUUUAUAUUAUUUUGUGUUUGCAAUUUAAUAUUAUCUUUGUUUCUCUUCUUAUAUCCAAUUGUGUAGGUGAAGUUUUCUUUGUUUCAUUUCCCUCUGUUUGUUUAAAAAGUUGUAUUUUCUGGCCUGGUGCGGUGGCUCACCUGUGUAAUCUCAGCACUUUGGGACGCCGAGGCAGGCAGAUCACCCGAGGUCAGGAGUUUGAGAUCAGCCUGGCCAAUGUGGUGAAACACUGUCUUUACUAAAAAUAUAAGAAUUAGCUGGGCAUGGUGGCGAACACCUCUAAUCCCAGCUACCCCUUUAGGCUGAGGCAUGAGAAUCACUUGAACCCAGGAGGAAGAGAUUGCAGUGAGGCGAUGCCACUGCCCUCCAGCCUGGGAGACAGAAGACUGUGUCUCAAAAAUUUUCCAUUUCUAUAUUUAUAAUAUAUAAUAACAUAUAAUAAUUAUAAUAUAUAUAGUAUAUACAUAAUAUAAAUAUAAUAUAUAAUAUGAUAUAAUAUAUAAUCUAUAUUAUAAUUUUCCAUUUCUAUAUUUAUAUCCUAUGUUCUAUAAUUACAGUUAAUGAAAAUUUAAGAUUUUUUUCUAGUUAAACAUAAAGCUAUUCUGUACCUCAAUCUUCCUCACAAAUAUGACAAAAUAGUUGAAAUACUUUUUCUUUUCACUCUCAUCUUACCUUCUAACUUCCAAGUUUAUUUUCCAGCUCAUAACUGAUGAUACUCAAUUUUGUAAUAAUUUUUAAUAACGAUACACAUUUAGAUUCACUAAUAUUUGUUUACUAAUUUCUUUGCUUACCAUUAAUUCUUUACACACACACACACACACACACACACUCUUUAUUUAUUUUGACACAGGGUCUCGUUCUUUUGCCCACGCUGGAGUGCAGUGGCGUGAUCUCAGCUCACUGCAGCGUUCACCUCACGGGCUCCGGCGAUUCUCCCACCUCAGCCAUCCCAGUGGCUGAGACUAGAGGUGUGCAUCACCAUGCCUGGCUAAUUUUUGUAUUUUUGGUAGAGAUGGGGUUUCAUCUUGUUGGCCAGGCUGGUCUCAAACUCCUGGGCUCAAAGAGAUCCACCUGCCUCUGCCUGCCAAAGUGCUGGGAUUACAGGUGUGAGCCCCCAUGCCCAGCUACCACAUAUUAAUUCAUUCUUUAGACUUCUUUUUUUUUCUCUUGAUAGAGUCCAUUCUAAGUUGUUCUGUCAGUGAAACUCUGUUUAAAACAUGGCUUGUAUGAAGUUGUCAGGAAUCGGCUCUGACACUUGGAUGAUUCUUCAGCUGGCUAUAAAAUUCUAAAAUCAGAGUAACCGUGUAUUGACUUCCAACAUUCCACAUUUCCAAAGGUGUUUCCUGUGAUCUCUGGGAUCCUGAUCCGCACCACUCAACUUUGGCCUCCUAAACUUCAUCCUUGACCCCACCCCAGGUAGGAAGGAUGUGUGGAUAUUUCUUUUAUCUUUCUGCAACGAUGACCUUUUGGAGAAAAAGAAAGGAAGCAGCUAUCAUAGUGUGAAAUUUCACAGCCAAAACUUCUGCAUCAGCUUCAUAAGGCAGGAAGCCUACAAAUUCCCCUCUUAUGUUUUGAGACUCAUCAACAAACCUCACCGAGACUCAUCAACAAAUCUCACCAACAUAGGACCUCUUGACCAGAAUUUAUCCAGCACUCCAGCACGGCUUGCACGUUAUCUGGAGUAAAGAGACCUUCUGGGAUUUCAUCAGCCUCCUGUCCAUCAAGAGUUCUUCCAGUUUUUGACUGACUGAAUUUUCAGUGAACUGUGUGUCUAACUGAAGCUUUGAGAGAGAGAGAGAGAGAAAGAAGGAAAAAAAGAAAAGGUUUUACUUCACUUGAACUUGUUAAAAAGGAAGAGACACAGAUCCAGCAUAGUAGAAGGAGAAAGAAAGCAGACAACAGUUUGGAAUGGAGGCAUUGAGACGGAAGAGUCCAUUGGAGAUGGAAUGUACACACAAAAAUAACAAUUUAGGUCCUUUGCUCAUGCAACAUCUUGUUCUAAUGUCCUCUGCUCCAGGUCACAACAUUGAGCUACAAAGUGUGUGCAGUGACUCCAGUCUGCAUUCAUGCUACAAGAUGAUCCGUUUAGUAAGACUGAGCAAGGCUUGUUAACCUCUUGGACGUGAGAGAUUUCCCCUGAGAAAAUAUAUAAAACAAGAGAAAAGAAAGAAAAUCAAGUACGAUCACUGAAAACCUGCUUAGUAGUAGCAACUAUUUACUGUAGCUGAUUUUUGUGCAAGGUCAACACUGAACCCUUUAAGUCCAUCUUAGUUCAAACCUCAUGACCAACCUGCCUUCCCCCCUCCCUCCCUCCACUGACACGUCAAACAAAACUAUCCUCCCUCCCUCCACCCUCCUACCCCUCCCAAAUCCUUCCUCCCCACUGCAAACAGACUGAUGGUUUCACAGCACAGAUUAGCAAAUCAUAAAACAUAUCCAUAAAUGCUCCAUCAAGGCUUAGCAAUGAAGCAACACCUAGGUUCCCAACUGAUUAUAAACAUGUUACAACAAAUCUUAGUAAGCUGCUCUGAAAGAUAAUGUGAGUGCAUUCUUGUUCAAUGGCUGAAAUUAAUGUCACAUUUAUAAAUAUCUAGAAAUGUAGAGGAUACGAUUUAAUUAAAUAAAAUGCAGUUUUUGAGGGUGUGAUUCAUGAAACUCAAGAUUGAGUCUGUUCCCUAUCUUACAUAAUAAUGGAUAAAAAGGU